GCCGGAGUGGCGGAAUGGCAGACGCGCCAGCUUGAGGGGCUGGUUUCUGUAUAGAAGUGCAGGUUCAAGUCCUGUCUCCGGCA
rnacentral:tRNA from 1 species